rnacentral:lncRNA from 1 species
GCCAAAUAUAGUAUUCUUUGGAGAAAAGUUGUUUCAAGUUUUGGUGUCUCUGCCCUACUAUUGCCCAGGGCUUGUGUUCACCUUUGUCCUUCCUUUGUUCUCAUCACCUGAGUCAGAUGAUGGACAAGACAGCUCAUGACCACGAAUCAGCCAGAGAAAGAGCUGAAGGGCCCAGCAUGAAGUCUUUGUUCCCAAGAGGUGGUGUGGUACCUGGGGACCAUUAUGACAACAUACACCACCUAGGGGGCCCUCUAUGGAUGACAGCUCCUCCUAGUUCAUAAAUCUGCAGUUUAUCUAAAGUUUUCCAGUGUUUUCAAAUUUGGCACCCCAGCAGCAACAGCCCAUGAACACCAGCUCUGCAGACUCAUGUACACACUUGAUAAGAUUCGCCCUGGAGCUAUGCUGCCAGUAGUCACCCGAGCUGAUGCGUGGAGCCCAGAAGAUCCGUUCUCUAAAAAUGAAGAGGAAGCCCACUAUUUUCCACAAGGGCCCAGCACUGCAGACAGUCUAAACAUGAACAGAGAAGCGUGCUUCCAGAAAUUGGAACAAAGUCCUGGGAAAGCAGAAGGAACUGGCUUAGACACGGAUUUUGAUUCUAGAAUGGACGUUGGUGAGGAACAACACAGGAGGGAGCAAACUACUGGGCUUGAGUCUAAGAUCCAUGAAGGGGUGAGCAAGAGAUGUCCUGUAUUCAUGCACCACCCACCAUGGACCAGCAUGGAGCAUAUGUCUCAAAGACCCUAAGGACACAAGCAGCAUGUUAAUUCUGGCUUUUAACAGACUUCAAAAUCACAAAAAACAGUCACCGAAACCCUGAGCAGAGGUCAGCCUGUCCUAUUUGCGUGUCUCCACUUGGCGUAUUAAAGCCGCAGGGUUGCCGGGCUGGGAUGCACAUCCGGGGUUCUUCACCAAGGUACCAGUUACUCACCUGUUUCACCCCAAGACGCCUAAGCCAGCUGGAGAUGCCCCGUCCCCACUCCGGCCCUCGGUGACAUCUCACCGCAGAGGCUCGCACACCGAGGGCCGCGGCCACCCCCGCCACCCUCACUCGUUAGCGCAGACCCAGGGAGACGCCUGCGGGGUCAUGGGCCAGGUGGCGUGGACACAGGAUGUGUCACUGACUCCAUCAGAACAGCAGUCCCAUCUCUGGAAGCAUCAAGAAUUGUGCCUUCUUGAAAAUUCACCCAUAUUGACAAAUUGUUGUUUCCAAUCUUAGGUUAUGC